AUAUCUCUCUGUACGGGAAGGAUGAGAAGCUUCGACUAAGGUUCGAUUCGAGCGCAGCGAGAAAGCGUUGCCAACGGCAACGACCCGAAGGGCGAAGCGCGCAGCGCUGAG
rnacentral:sRNA from 2 species